CUUUAUUACAUAGAUAUAGAUUUGCUUCAACACUCAGAGCCCCUGGAAAAGGCUUGAGCUUGUUAAAAUGGGUAUAUCUCGUGAUUCUAUGCACAAUAGGCGUGCCACUGGUGGCAAAAAGGAAGUAAUGUGCAAAACUCUUCACUAUUUGUUGUCCUUUGAUUUCUUUUUUAUCAUUUUUAUCUGGUUAGUUGCUUAGAAAGUUGAUUCAGAAUUAGUU